rnacentral:rRNA from 1 species
UACGUAGGGUGCGAGCGUUGUCCGGAAUUACUGGGCGUAAAGAGCUCGUAGGUGGUUUGUCGCGUUGUUCGUGAAAACUCACAGCUCAACUGUGGGCGUGCGGGCGAUACGGGCAGACUGGAGUACUGCAGGGGAGACUGGAAUUCCUGGUGUAGCGGUGAAAUGCGCAGAUAUCAGGAGGAACACCGGUGGCGAAGGCGGGACUCUGGGCCGAUACUGACGCUGAGGAGCGAAAGCGUGGGGAGCGAACAGG